UCUCCUCUCUUCUGCAUCUUUCUUCUCCUUCCUUCCAAACGUUUUUUUCUUCGUUUUCUCAACUUUUAAAUAAGUAGCAAAAUAAAAGUAAAAGUAAUACACAAAUUCUAAAGUUUUCUUCCUUCUGUAAAUUGGGAUAUUCAGCUGCUUCUACCAGUAUUGAAGCUACAGGUAUAUGCCUCUUCAGAUUUUUCUUUCGAGACACCAAAAAAAGAGCAAAAAGGAUAAAAUAACAAGACGCAAAUUCUAAACACCUACGAUUACUGAAAGAAAAUGAAAUACGCUUAUGGUUUUCAAGUCUUUAUUUAUCAUUGGGUUCGAACGGGCAGAGGUUUACUUGAAAGUUUUGAAGAAAGUGCAAAUGGAGUUUGGGUGGAUUGCCACGUGUCUUUAAACAUGCAUAUGUUUAGGAACAUUAAAAUAAGUAGAUUCAAUAAGACCUAAGGGUAGUUUUACCCAAACUAAAAAGGACUCUUCACUAGGAGUACUUCACAUUCAUCCUCUCAGAUUGGCUGGACAUGGCACAAAGAGCAAAUAUCAAUAUGAUUACUUCAAAAAUAGAAGAAUCGGCCUGCAAAAUUCAGAUUGUUGAUAAAGAAUGCCCCUAAAAAAUAAAGAAAAAAAAACAAUAAAUUUACGCUCAUGAUACUUCAGACUAUAGAGUGACUAAAUGGCUUUGGGUGGAGAUGAAUUGCAAAAGGGGACUGUUGCAGCUGCUAGCCUGCAUUGCAGAAGACCGCUGGUGGUGGUGGACAUGCAGGAGGAGCAGGUACCCCACUGUCCAAUGUUGCCAACACAUUACAAAGAAGACAAUGUUUUAUUAGCAUGUAGAAAUGUAAUGUAAAUAAUGCAAGUUACAAAUGUAACCCAAAGAUUUCCAACCAUAUAAUUUUUUUUAUGUGUAAUAAAUAAUAUAUGUGUUUAGCUAG